CAACAAGUUCGUUGUCAUGACAUGAAAUCUAGGUCGUUGACUCUAUUAAACCCAUGUUGGUUGUUAUGGCUUUUAACAUGGGCACCACGUUUCCCCAUGCCAAGAAUAAGGCUGAAUGUACAGGAAAUCUUAGGGAGACAACUCUGAAAGAUUUCCGCUUAAGUGUAGCACUUCUCCCAUGUCAAUGCCUUGGGCCAUCGUACUUGUGCGAAGUUUGCGUUUGGUACAGGUACAAGAAGAUAGUGAUGACGUUGCACGAAUUUGAGCGUGAUUGGUACAUCCCGUAAGGGAGAGUGGACAUAGCAGGGAUGUGCGAGAGGUGUAUAUCAUGUCAAACUAGAAGCCAUGCAAGACUGAUUUACUUGACGAUAGCAGAACAUGGACAGAAGGACCAAGCUGUUGUGCCAGGCUCAUUUUGCCAGGCCUUUUACAGGCUGUGACUCAAAACAUGGGGGUGGGGCCAGUGGGCAUAUUUUUGGGCAUUAUUUUACUGAGCUGGGGACCCACCUCUUCACUCACCUGUAAAACACCUAGCAAAGGGUCAGUCUGAUAGAAAAGAUUAAUCCUGGAUAGAAUUGUCUCAGCGGUACGAGAAGUACGUCUGUAAGUUUAGAUUUAGACAAGGCAUGGAUGGAUUCUAACUUGCUACCUAGGACGAAGAACAUCUCCAAUCGUAGUGUAAAAUUAAGUAUAAUUUGAUAUUUCUGAAACCACUCUUGCAUUCUCAUUCACAUCUUGAUAGAUCUAAAUUCAAAUUCUACUCCAAUGGAAAGAUCAAAUUAUCCAAAUCCACUUUUUGUCUCUUGUAUAUAUAAAAAAGGAUAUAAAUUUACAUUUAUUCCUUUAUUUUUUUUAAUCAAAAAUGCAAUUUGCACCUCCUUUGCACCUUUCUAUUGGAGAGAUUUUUGACUACUUUGGAGAUCUAAAU
rnacentral:lncRNA from 1 species